rnacentral:rRNA from 1 species
CCCUGCCAUUUGUACACACCGCCCGUCGCUACUACCGAUUGAGUGUUUUAGUGAGGCCUCGGGACUGGCCGCAGGAGGUUGAAUAAACCCCCUGUAGCCGGGAACUUGGACAAACUUGAAUACUUAGA